AGAGGAAAACACACUAUAUGGAGAGAAGUACAAAUAAAGUAUUUCUGAACAAUAAAGGACAGAGUAAGAUAAUGAAUACCUGGAAUUACAUAUUAUUACUAGUUAGUAGAUCUCUUCUGUCAUCAUUAUUUAACCAUACACCGGUGACGUCAGAAGGGACGUGAUUUCCUCAUAUGAAAGUGAAAGUAACUGUGGUUACAAAAUGUAGCGCACAUUUCUCUGCAACAUUAGAAGCAGGAUAAAUGUGUUGAUUUGAAGGACAGACUGACAGACUCUGGAUCCAUUUUGAGAUGACAGAGCAGAAAACACUAUAUGGACAAUACUGACAAAUAAAGUAAGUAUUUAUGAACAAUAAUUCAUUCUAAAUGACAGAGUAAGAGAAUGAAUACUAGGAAUGAGAUAUUACUAGUUAGUAGAACUGCUACUUGAGCUGAGUUGCUGACAGACAGCAGUUUUAAAAGUGGAAACUAAUCAGUAGGUCUACAUGUUAUCAGUAAAACGUCUGGUAAAGAUGGCGGAGGAGCUUUUACAUUAUAUGGUUUUAUGUUUAUCUCAGGGUUUCUCAAUCCUUUUGUUCUUACCAGCACUUACACACCUGAUUCAACUAAUCAUUAAAUAUUUUAUGACAGUUUAAUAUUUGAGGCAUACAAAUUAACAUUCUCAAAUAAUUAAAACCUUUUGGGUUUGUAGGCCUGUUAACAAUUAUUAUAGUCCUACAGUAACUCACAUUCUGGAGGAAAAAGCACAGCUAAAAUUGGUUUCCAGUAAAUUAUAUGUUUAUCAAAAAUAAUGUAAGAGAGAUGUCUUGAAGAAACGCAUCUGGGUUUAGAACUCUGUGUCUCAGUGCCCUGCGACAGUGGAAAGUUCGUUUUGCAUGGCCCGGUGCUACAGGUGAGUGGAGUUUUAUUUUAAGGCACAAUGGAAUGGUCUAAAAUGCGUAAACUCUGCUCACCCGGGGAGCCGGGCAAUGCAAAACGAAUUCACCCAGUGACCGUUACAUUAUUUCCUUAUAUGAAAUUGAAAGUAACUUUGUAGCCCACGCAGUUACAAAAUGUCUGUUGAAACUGUGGCUCAUAUGUCUCUAGAAUAUUAGAACAGUGGUGGAAAAAGUACUCAAUUCUCAUACUUGAGUAAAAGUAAAGAUACCUUUAUAGAAAAUGACUCAAUUAAAAGGGAAAGUCACCCAGUAAAAUACUUCUUCAGUAAAAGUCAAAGUAUUUGGUUUCAAAUAUAAUUAAGUAUCAAAAGUAAAUGUAAUUGCUAAAAUAUACUUAAGCAUCAAUAGUAAAAGUAAAGAAGUGAUAGUUUAAAAUUCCUUUUAUUAAGCAAACCAGACGGCACAAUUUUCUUGUUAUUUUAAUUUACGGAUAGCCAGG
rnacentral:lncRNA from 1 species